UGCCGAAACCCGGGAUCGAAACAGGGACCUUUAGAUCUUCUAAUCUAACGCUCUCCCAACUAAGCUAUUUCGGC
rnacentral:tRNA from 1 species